GCUGCGGGGCUCUUCCAACGGCAGUCUUUUCUCAGGGCUCUCCAUCGCUGUCUCCAAAGGGCACUGGGGUCUGAGCCUCUUCCUGCUCAAUCCUCUCUUUCCUCUCUCCUUUUGCAGAGUCAGACCUGCACUGCAGUCUGAAGGUUCUUCAUCCCUACUCCUGCUCCCUUCCUUUGAUCCUUCCCCCAAGAAAUCUCUUGCGUGUCUAAUACACCUUAGUGUCUAUUUCUUGGAGGACCUAAAGUGACACAGGUGAUACAAGAGUGGGGUCUGAGAAAGCUGACAGUAAGAUGGGACUUGGGACUGGCUCACUCACUGUCUAGCUGGCACAAAGGACCCUUUCCUGGGUGGAAUGUGGAAUUCUCUGGUACAAGAACCUUAAAGAUCCUUGGAGGUGGCUUGAAAGCCAAUUUUGGGAGCCAGAACUGGAGAGAGGACUGAGGGAGUCUUCGAGAGAUCCAGACACUUCCUCACCUCCUAUUUCGACUGCAACAGCUUCUCUUUGAACUUUCUAUAAAUUGGAAUUCUGCGGAGGGAUUGGUUUUAAAAGGGGGUUCUGCUUCUUUUAAAAAAUUAUCUGGCGUAGACCAGUGUGCCAAAAAUAACUGCAGUGUUUAAAUUAAACCAUUAUAGAAUCUACUCUUAAAUUAACUGUUAGACUUCCUAAGACCCAAGGGAGUGAACAAAGUUGGCUGUUGUGAAGAAAGAAGCUGACAAACGACGUGGCCCCACGUUGAAGCAGCAAAAGAUUCUGGAAGGCAGCUGCUCCAUGGAGCUUUUCUGAGCAUGCUCUCCAAGUCCUAUAGCGGAGUUCCUUAAUUCCUAGAGGACGCUCUUGCAUUCUUGGCUGUUUUCUGUAGUAAGGUGACCACUGACCAUUUUGACUGCUUCAGAUCAGUUUUGUGCUUUGACUUCAAAUGUCAAAGCACAUUUGUAUGUGCUUUGAGAAAUGUAAUGAGAGAUCUGUGUUCACAGGGCACAUAGUAGUUUGAGAAAUGUGCUCAAUAAAUGCUUGUUGUUGAUUGAAUACAUAGUUUUGAAAAUAAUAUUUAACUUUUCUUCUAGAAUACUAACUGGACUCAGAGACUGACCACAGUCACUUGUGACAGUAUCUAACUAGACAUUGUCCUAUUUUCUCCCUAAAAUCCAACUUCAUUACUUUAUGAAUUUCAACCUAACAUCUACCUGUGCUUAGAGGUUUUGCUUUAAUGGAAGAAACAAUCCAUUAUAUAGACUGCAAAUGUUCUCAUAUUUAUCACAGGUAAAUAAAGGAAACUGUCUUUAGAAUAAAGUUUAUUUUUAUUAAGUAUUAGCUCCUAGUUGUUUAAUUUUUAUAAAGGACUCAUUAGAGGAGCAUCCUUGUUGGUUGGCUGUUUUGAUGUUAUUUUCCUCUUAAUUUUAUCCUAAAAAAGAUAGAGUGUAAAUAAUAAUACUAUAUAUUUGUAUCUUGAUUUGUAGUUUAUCAAAUAUUACAUCUGUUUGUCAUAACAAUCCUGAAAAGUAUGUAUUAUUAUCUCCACUUUAAAGAUGAGUGAAAUAGCUAAAUCACUAGUUCAGUGUCCUAUACCCAGCACCUAGCACUGUUUACCUGCAUUUUUAGGGCGGGUGUGUUUAGUUAAGAGACAACGAGUAGGUAACUGUUCUUAACCCUGGAU
ensembl:lncRNA